UCUGGUAGCUAUAGCAAGGAGGUCACACCUGUUCCCAUGCCGAACACAGAAGUUAAGCUCCUU
rnacentral:rRNA from 1 species